UAGGGAAUCUUCCGCAAUGGACGCAAGUCUGACGGAGCAACGCCGCGUGAGUGAAGAAGGAUUUCGGUUCGUAAAACUCUGUUGUUAGAGAAGAACAGCGCAUAGAGUAACUGUUAUGCGUGUGACGGUAUCUAACCAGAAAGCCACGGCUAACUACGUGCCAGCAGCCGCGGUAAUACGAAGGUGGCAAGCGUUGUCCGGAUUUAUUGGGCGUAAAGCGAGCGCAGGCGGUCAAUUAAGUCUGAUGUGAAAGCCCCCGGCUCAACCGGGGAGGGUCAUUGGAAACUGGUUGACUUGAGUGCAGAAGAGGAGAGUGGAAUUCCAUGUGUAACGGUGAAAUGCGUAGAUAUAUGGAGGAACACCAGUGGCGAAGGCGACUCUCUGGUCUGUAACUGACGCUGAGGCUCGAAAGCGUGGGUAGCAAACAGG
rnacentral:rRNA from 1 species